AAUGCAGUGCCCGAACAGGGCGUUGUAAUUGGAAUGAGAACAAUUUAAAUCCCUUAUCGAUUAACAAUUAGAGGGCAAGUCUGGUGCCAGCAGCCGCGGCAAUUCCAGCUCUAAUAGCGUAUAUUAAGGUUGUUGCAGUUAAAAAGCUCGUAGUUGGAUUUCGGCGUGCGCUCAGGCUGGUCGGCCGUCAAGGUCUGUACCGUUUGGGUCACGCCCCACUGUAGGAUACUCACCGCUGUCCUUAACUGGGUGGCGGUCAAAGGGGGUGUGCAUGGGGGCAACUCUGUGCAUAUCUCUGGGGUUCCUACUCUUUUACUUUGAGCAAAUUAGAGUGUUCAAAGCAGGCAAUCGAGCCUUGAAUACUUCAGCAUGGGAUAAUGGAACAGGACUGGGGUCCUGAUUUCGUUGGUUUCUGGGAUCUCAGUAAUGAUUAAUAGGGAUAGUUGGGGGCAUUAGUAUUUAAUUGUCAGAGGUGAAAUUCUUGGAUUUAUGAAAGACUAACUUCUGCGAAAGCAUUUGCCAAGGAUGUUUUCAUUAAUCAAGAACGAAAGUUAGGGGAUCGAAGACGAUCAGAUACCGUCGUAGUCUUAACCAUAAACGAUGCCGACCAGCGAUUGGGAGACGUUACAUGGAUGACUCCCCCAGCAGCUUGCGAGAAAUCACAAGUCUUUGGGUUCCGGGGGGAGUAUGGUCGCAAGGCUGAAACUUAAAGGAAUUGACGGAAGGGCACCACCAGGAGUGGAGCCUGCGGCUUAAUUUGACCCAACACGGGGAAACUUACCAGGUCCAGACAUAGUAAGGAUUGACAGAUUUGAGAGCUCUUUCUUGAUUCUAUGGGUGGUGGUGCAUGGCCGUUCUUAGUUGGUGGAGUGAUAUGUCUGGUUAAUUCCGUUAACGAACGAGACCUUAACCUGCUAAAUAUGUCACUGGUAGACUUCUGCCAAAACAGGUGGGUGUCUAGGGGAAAGUUUCGAUGGACUCCGACGCAUUCAUCUGUGGAUGACUACCAGGAUGUACUUCUUAGAGGGACUAUCUGUAUCAAAGCAGAUGGAAGUUUGAGGCAAUAACAGGUCUGUGAUGCCCUUAGAUGUUCUGGGCCGCACGCGCGCUACACUGACAAGUUCAACGAGUUUAACACCUUGCUCGAUAGGGCUGGGUAAUCUUUGAAAAACUUGUCGUGAUGGGGAUAGAUCAUUGUAAUUAUUGGUCUUCAACGAGGAAUUCCUAGUAAGCGUGAGUCAUCAGCUCGCGUUGGUUACGUCCCUGCCCUUUGUACACACCGCCCGUCGCUCCUACCGAUAGAAUGAUCCGGUGAAAUGUUGGGAGCUGGGGUCUUUUGGCGGCGGGGCAACUCGUCGUCAGGGAUUCUGCAAACUUCAUUAAACCUUAUCAUUUAGA
rnacentral:rRNA from 1 species